UUAUGUACAGGGGAUAUAUAGUGAUGUUUGUAUCUAGCGCUUUGGGCUUAAUAAUAUCAGUUCGGUGCUGCCAGCUUCGACGUGUAUGCUGUGACAAAUCAGUGCUUACGAUCGUACGACUGGAUGGUGCGCUAUUAUAGUCAGAGUGUAUGUUGGUGUCGACGCGUCAAAUAGCAAGGCCCUGCCACACUUCUAGAGAAGAAGCACGAAACACGUCAUAGCCAAAACAAUAAUGAGAUAAGUGACUCGGAUGCGACCAGCAAAAAACGCCAGGUUCUGCAUACAUAACCAAAAUGACGCGUAGUGCAAACAUGGCUAAAUCGAUCGUAUACGUCUGAACGGACCAGUGAAUUUUCACUGUGUGCUGAUUGGUGAUUUUCGAAACGAUAGAUCCGAGCACAACAGGGAUACGCCAUGUGAGAAAGGUUGUGGGAAGUGGCGGUGAGUGGAACGACGAGAAUCCUGAAUAACGGCUCGAUGAGGUUUCGUCUAUGCGUUCGCGGAAGAAUGACAGAAUUACGUGCGUUUCUGUGCCUGGCUAAAGUUUGUAGAAAAUGACGACAAAGAAAGGGCAAAGAAGCGUCGGCGAGAAAGAAGUCUCGAAACUGAGGAAUUAAUCCUUUUGCUGAUACAUGCAUGUUUCCGGUGGAAGUCGGUUUUAGUAACAUGUUUUUCUGUUUGACGCAAAACUGUACAGUUGUAUCGCUCCUAACAAUAUCUGUAUAAACAAAAAUCACCAAAGAAUAAACAAUGUAUUUCAUCUUUGUCUCUCUACUCGAAACCAAGCAUCAAUAAAUGGCCAU